CGUGGUACCAGGUACAAGUUCGAUGCCAAAUUCUACCUCUCGAACAGGUGGCAACCCCGAUAACUCCUCAGGAAAAACAUCUGAAUACUCACAAACCACUGGUACCGAUUCAAGUUUCCUUUCCGUCUCUUUACUAUCAAAUACAUACACAAGAUAUGUUUCACACCCCUUCCUCACAUAUCUCUGAGCGAUCAUCGAGGAUAUUAUUGCUGGCACUCCCCUUAAAUCAGUAGACUCAACUCGG
rnacentral:lncRNA from 1 species